rnacentral:lncRNA from 1 species
CUAUUUUCAAAACAUGGAUUUAAGUCCCCAAAAUUGAAAAUCUCUGAUGCAUUGGCGUAAAGGAUCGUGCAUGUUGACAUAUCUCCGGCGUAGAGUUUACAUGGAAUGCACCCUGGGUGAAUGGCCUAUGGAGAUGAAAGAUUACAAAGUCUCAUUUUGAAAGUGGCUUACACAUAUUCAUAAUCCAAAUUUGUUUGUAAAUUAUUAACCAAAGGUGGUGUAUGAGUUAUUAGUACAUAAUUGCAAAGUAACCAUUGCCAUUGCGGGGUUAGGGUAUUUUCCCAAGAAAAUGUUUCUUAUUUUGACUAGGUAUUCUUAGGUGAAUAACGUCUAAAUUCACUAUAGCUUUGUCUUGGCACCAGGAUAUGAGGGUAGUAAGACUGGGGGGAGGGGAUAUUAUGGAAUGCCAAAGACAGAAGAUGGCUUUAAAUGGGUUCGGGGGCAUGCUUCCUUAGGAAAAUUUUGAAAUCUAGAGUCCAUGAUUGAAAUGUGAUUUCCAACAUUGUGAGGUAAGAUUAUUAUACAGAAUUCUGAAGAUUGUAUAAUAGUAGAUUCGAGAUCGGAAAGUGUUAAACUCUACAGGCAUUGUGUGCAGGUUUUGUGAUAUGUCUAUUAACAAUUUGCAAGUCCUUUGUUUAUCUCUUUAAGACUCUUUUCUACAUAUGGCAUGCACAAAUUCAUCAUCUGUUAUGGAUGAAAACUGGACUGACAAUCUUAAUCCUACAAAUAUUUCGGGACUCAACGGGGACUGACUUUUAGGACCUACAUGUAUAUGAAUUUCUAUAUCGGGUGGGAUUCCAUUUGGGAAAUUCCUUCAUGUUUGGUUCACAUUUUGGGGUGGGCUGUUGGAAAUUCUAGAUGUCCUCAACAGAUGAUGCAAGGGGGGG